rnacentral:rRNA from 1 species
GGCCAGCAUCAGUUUUGGUGGCUGCAGAAACCCUUAGGAAUGUGACUUUCUCUUCGGAGGAAGUGUUAUAGCCUAAGGUUAUACAGCNAACGGGGACUAAGGACUGCGGCUUCGGCCAAGGAUGCUGGAAUAAU